rnacentral:rRNA from 1 species
GAUGAACGCUGGCGGCGUGCUUAACACAUGCAAGUCGAGCGAGAAGUUUUGAAAAGAUUCUUCGGAUGAAAUUUAAAAUGGAAAGCGGCGGACGGGUGAGUAACGCGUAGGCAACCUGCCCCAUACAAAGGGAUAGCAUUUGGAAACGAAUAUUAAUACCUUAUGAAACUUAACUAGUGCAUGCUAGGUAGGUCAAAGAUUUAUCGGUAUGGGAUGGGCCUGCGUCUGAUUAGCUAGUAGGUGAGGUAACGGCUCACCAAGGCGACGAUCAGUAGCCGACCUGAGAGGGUGAACGGCCACAUUGGAACUGAGACACGGUCCAAACUCCUACGGGAGGCAGCAGUGGGGAAUAUUGCACAAUGGGGGAAACCCUGAUGCAGCAACGCCGCGUGAACGAUGAAGGCCUUUGGGUCGUAAAGUUCUGUUCUAGGUGAUGAAAACUGACAGUAACCUAGGAGAAAGCCCCGGCUAACUCCGUG